ACGCUCGACACCUACGGGAGGCAGCAGUGGGGAAUAUUGGGCAAUGGGCGCAAGCCUGACCCAGCAACGCCGCGUGAAGGAAGAAGGCCCUCGGGUUGUAAACUUUCUUUUCUUAGGGACGAAGCAAGUGACGGUACCUAAGGGAAUAAAGCCACGGCUAACUACGUGUCAGCAGCCGCGGUAAUCUGAGCGGGCUGGCAAGGC
rnacentral:rRNA from 1 species